AAUACGUGUAUAAUGCUUUGUAUCGAGUAAGUCAAUGAAAUUAA
rnacentral:guide_RNA from 1 species